UAGUCAGACGCCUUCGCCACCGGUGGUCCUCCUGAGAUUAUAGCAUUUUACCGCUCCCUCAGGAAUACCUCUGACCCUUCCCUGUCUCAAUUCUUACAGUGUUUCCUGCACAUUGCCAAGUUAAGCCUGGCAGUUUCACAAGAAAUUUAUAAAACCUGCUACGGACGCUUUAGGCCCAAUAAACGUGAUUGCCACUCGUAGCGCUGGUGUUACCGCGGCGGCUGGCACCAGUCUUACCCACUACUUAUUCGCCAUACUAUUUACAUAUGGCAAA
rnacentral:rRNA from 1 species